UAUAAGCUAUAAUCAAGUUAUUCAAAAAGAGUUUCCAAUUUUACAAUUUCGAAGAGAGAAAAUAAAAAAAUUGUUUCGCUUGAUAACAUAAUCAGAUACUAGAUGUUAUUACGUAUGUGAAAUCAUCGGAUGGCUUCUGUCUUGAAGAAAUCUCUUUAAAUAUCAAUAGAAUAUUUAAUCGUACAACCUAUACUACUGCUUCUUUUCUACAGAAGUUAGAAUAGAACAGCACUAGUCACUACCCUUUCCCGCUUCGAAGUUGGGAGAUCUUUAGCUAUGUAUCAAU
rnacentral:misc_RNA from 1 species